GCGGCUGUGACGCAACUGGUAGCGUUCCAGCUUCCCAAGCUGGCUGUUGCGGGUUCGAGCCCCGUCAGCCGCU
rnacentral:tRNA from 1 species